AGAGUUUGAUCCUGGCUCAGGACGAACGCUGGCGGCGUGCUUAACACAUGCAAGUCGAACGGGGUGUUUAUUUCGGUAAACAUCAAGUGGCGAACGGGUGAGUAACGCGUAAGCAAUCUACCUUCAAGAUGGGGACAACACUUCGAAAGGGGUGCUAAUACCGAAUGAAUGUAAGAGUAUCGCAUGAGACACUUACUAAAGGAGGCCUCUGAAAAUGCUUCCGCUUGAAGAUGAGCUUGCGUCUGAUUAGCUAGUUGGUGAGGGUAAAGGCCCACCAAGGCGACGAUCAGUAGCCGGUCUGAGAGGAUGAACGGCCACAUUGGGACUGAGACACGGCCCAGACUCCUACGGGAGGCAGCAGUGGGGAAUCUUCCGCAAUGGGCGAAAGCCUGACGGAGCAACGCCGCGUGAACGAUGAAGGUCUUAGGAUCGUAAAGUUCUGUUGUUAGGGACGAAGGGCAAGGGUUAUAAUACAGCCUUUGUUUGACGGUACCUAACGAGGAAGCCACGGCUAACUACGUGCCAGCAGCCGCGGUAAUACGUAGGCGGCAAGCGUUGUCCGGAAUUAUUGGGCGUAAAGGGAGCGCAGGCGGGAAACUAAGCGGAUCUUAAAAGUGCGGGGCUCAACCCCGUGAUGGGGUCCGAACUGGUUUUCUUGAGUGCAGGAGAGGAAAGCGGAAUUCCCAGUGUAGCGGUGAAAUGCGUAGAUAUUGGGAAGAACACCAGUGGCGAAGGCGGCUUUCUGGACUGUAACUGACGCUGAGGCUCGAAAGCUAGGGUAGCGAACGGGAUUAGAUACCCCGGUAGUCCUAGCCGUAAACGAUGGAUACUAGGUGUGGGAGGUAUCGACCCCUUCCGUGCCGGAGUUAACGCAAUAAGUAUCCCGCCUGGGGAGUACGGCCGCAAGGUUGAAACUCAAAUGAAUUGACGG
rnacentral:rRNA from 1 species